rnacentral:tRNA from 1 species
CAAAAUGUAGCUUAACCCAAAGCAUCUCGCUUACACCGAGAAAAUGUCCGUAAAAAUCAGACCAUUUUGA